AUAAAAUCGGAUAAAUGAUCUAUUUACUUCAGUUCUUGUUCAAUUCGUUUCUCUACUCGUCUCAAAUCCCCUCAAGUACGAGAAAUUUUAUCCCGUUCAUCAAAUAUACAAACAACAAAUAAUAGGUUUUCUUUUGCAACUAAAUAAUACAUGGUCGGUUAAUUGAAAAAUCUCAAGGAAAACAACCACAAGAAAAAAUAAAAUAAUGUGGCCGCACUCGGAGGGCAAGUUGGACGCUUCAUCAAUCUGAAGUUGAGCGCAAUUUCUUUGAGAUUGAUACUGUAGAAAUAUUUACAUCAACUUUACAGCGCAAGCACAGUAGGUGACACCUUUUAAUUUCUUGCAUAAACAUACAAGCAGCAGAGCUUCCCAACCACAAGAGACAAGCAUCAAUAUACUUGAAUUCGAGCCGCCCGCAUUACAUGUAAUUGAACAAACCCUCACUGUACAAUUACUCUCACAAUGAAUAUACAACAAUGAUGCUAAAACUCCCUUGCUCUGUCCUGGACCUUAAUUCUAUUCAAGGGGAUACACCAUCUCAGAGCGCCAUUCUGCCAUUCUCCCUCCAUAAAUCCAAUAACAGAUAAAUAGCCUAGCUCCUUGGCAGAAGGCAGUUGUCCUCGACAGAUGGCUGCCGAUACCCUGUGCUCAAAUCAGGAACCCAAUAUUUGCCUCCAUCAUCUACCUGUGCUGUUCUAAUGGUCCACCAGAAUUUCCACCCUGGUUGAUCUGCUUCUCCUUUGGAAGGCAAUCAACAGGAAUAUAAAAAUAUCCUUUAGGUAACUGCUGAUUCUUCAUAGAUGCUUGAUCUGAUGUCAUCACCAGCUCUUUCUCAAAGGUCUCAAAACGCUUUCUUGAUUUUGAGCUCCAUUCUCCCUCCUCCAACGGAUUACAAGAUGCAAGGGAAGCUCCAUGAGGGAUUUGCUUCCCGGCAAAUGACAUCCUCUCCAUAGGUUUUCGGGUAAAAUGGCUUUGGGAUGUGGAGCUGUCAUCUGUCUUUUGAUCUGCAUCCAUGACAACUUUAAUUUGAUACUUGGUAGAAAUGGUGCUGUCCACUGUUACAUCAUCUGAUCUUUGGAUUGCAUCACUGCAUGAUUUAUACCCAUCCGCAUUGCCUUUCAAGGAUGUUGUAGCUGAUUCUGAACUAACAUCCGGAGGAAAAAAAGAACUAUGAACAAGCACAGAACGAGCAACAUUGUCUCUUUUGCAAGCAAGUAUGCUGUGUGAGCAAAGAACCAAAUCCCGCUUUAUUUUUUCACGUUUAAUAAUUCUCUCGCAAAGAAGACGUAACCUCUCCAGUUCAACCCUGAUUUGCUUCAUGCUCUUAAGCUCCUCGACUCCAUGUUUUUGAGAUUCAGCCUUUGCCCUCUGUUCCAAGCCAUGCCUUUCACAAUAUGCCUUGUGAUGCAAUUUGCCAUUAAGAGACUUUACAUUCAUGUAAAAACCAGUACUUCUAGCGCAGGAGGGAUGAAAUGUGGCUUGGCAGUGACCAUAGCUACACUUUAUGCAGACACCAUGUUUGCGUCGGCAUAUACAGCAAAUAUCAAUUCCCUUAGCAACUGUCUCCAUUCCUUCGACGGGAUUCACUUGUCCCCUCCGGAACGUUGGUUCAAACACCCACUCCGCACAGAAGGCAUGGACCCACUGACCAUCGGUAGAUUUCCUAAAAGCACCCGUAGUGCCACCACAUAAACUACACUCGGCAACAAAAUAGGGCUUCUCCCAAAAAUUGAGGGAAGCAGCUGCAGAGCACUUAGAUGACAAUAAUUCCUCACAUAAUUCACAGUACCAUGGACCUGUAGAUUCUUUGACACUACGAUAGCAAUCCAAGUGCACUGCAACCUUGCAACUGGAACAGACUAAGAUGGGGUUCAGAAUUGUCUCAGAUCGUCUGCAAAUAUCACAUGAUCUAGGAUGCUCUUUAGAAAAAUCAGGAACUGACUGAACAAAAUCAGAGUACUUUUCUGAUGAAUUCCUUGGAACAGCCACCCUUGAAAGUGUCUCUUUUGGACGUGGCAUCAGCUGAGAAGAAAGGCCAGCCCUCCCAUUAGAAACAUCAAAUUUCUCCUGAUGAUUAGGGUCAUCGUACGUGUCUUUCCUAAAUGAUGAAACCCUAGAAGAGGAGGCAGCAGCUGCAGUUGCAGCUGCUAGCACAGCCUGGGCUUCUUUAUGCUUUCUUUCUUUCCUGCCCUGCUUCUUUGCUUCUCUAAGCUCAAUAAGAUACUGGUUAACAAGCACUGCAUCCCAUCUUUGGGCCUUGGCUGUGUCAAUCUCCUGUGGUAGACUCCUAGCAACCUUACAAAUUAAAUUAUCUGCAAGGAUAAUCACCACGAAAAAAGUAUUAAAGCUACAUUUCCACUUCAUAUGACACAGUAUAACAUUUCCAGAGCAAAGUGAGGGAAGAAUGAAAGAAUGAGACCGGUAAAGUGUUUUCUUGCAACUGCAUUGCCAAGGAGCCUAUGCUGAAAAUAAAUAAUUUCUCCUUCCACUUCAUCUGCUGGAGAUAGUUUGCAAACUUCCAUGUUCUCAGCCUUAACCAGCUGCUCUGGAUUUACUUCAUCAGAUUUGUACAGGUCAUUGCACAUUGAAUGUAUAUUCUGGUGAUCACAGCAGACACUGGCAUUGGAAGAAGCCUCCAGACUAGAGGUUUCUCCCACCCUCAAACCUGCUCAAGUGAAUAUGUAUAAAAUCUACAAAUCAUGGGAUAGCGUUAACAGGAAAAUCUUUACCAUCAAGCAUAUAUGCUGUGCUAUUUCUACCUUCCAACUCACAAACAUUUCCUUUUAAGAGCUGCUCGUUCUGCAUCUUCAACAGUUUCUUAUGGAUGUAUGUGUGCACAUAUGAAUGUGAAAAUUCUUCCAUUUUUAUGAGAUCAGGCAGGACUGGAUGAUCUGCUUUACUUGAAUCAUCCUGCUGGGGAACAGCAACAUUCUCUGAUUCAACUUUUUCAGGAGGGCAACCUGACAUAUUAUCUGAAUUGCCAGUACAACAUACAUGCAACUUGCAUCAAAAGAAACCAAAAGAAGCCACAUCAUGGAUACGACAAUAUGCAAAUUGCAAAGAGCUUAAUAGGUCCCACAAGAUGAACUGCAAUAGAUCUCAUAUAAAUAGAUAACCGUAAAAGCAUAUGCAAUCCGUUGCCUUUUGAUAUUCAGCACAGGUAUCUGAGCAACAAAAAGGAAGUUAAAAAAAAAACGAUGAUAAGCUUCCACCCAGUUUAACGGUAUCCUUCUUUUUAGAAUGACGUCAGACAGAAGCUGAUUGUGCUCAGACUUCCCUCAAAGUAGAUCUUAAUUCCCAUCCAUAACAAUUAUCAUAUUUCAUUUCAUCUUUAUUUAUAGCUAUAAUCCCUGCUAUUGUUGCUGACAAUACAGGUGGCAAAAUUUCACAAACAUGAAAUAACCCUUGGGUUCUCUAAAUUCGCAAGGAACAACUAUAAAGAAUCAACUAAGAAAGACCCACAAACAAUAAAUACCAAAGCUUCUGCCCAAAAUAAAUGCAUUAGGUCAAAAAGAUGAUUUAGAAAAAGCAUACCUCCAGAUUUUGAACAAUGUGUUGCUGAAGAGUCUUGAAACUCAUCAAGGUUGAUUGUUUUCUGGCUAAAAACAGCUCGAAGAAACCAACUUUCCAGAGGCACAAUAAAUUCUAUACCUUUUCAACAGGGAUAGAUACUUCACUCGAAUUUUCAGGUUCUUCAUUGGCUAGUUGAUGAACUUUAACCUCAUCCAUCAAUGUCCCACUGUCACUUGAAAAUUGCUUAGAUGAACAAAUUAUUUUGUUAUCCCCAAAAAUUCUAAUGUUGCCUUUCGUUCUUCUUCGUGGAGGAACUGACUUAACAGCAACAGGAUCUGUGAUAUCAGACUCCAAUGCUGUUACACCAUCAGAACAAUCAGCAGCUGCCAUCUCAGCCUUUGAUAAAAUUGCGGAUUUUUGUUUAACAUUCAAAUUUUUAUGAAAUGUUCCCAUAUAAACAUUAUUUCUAAGCCAUUUAACUAUUUUGCAUUGCAAGUCAGGUACCAAAUUGUCUUCAGCGAGUGUUGAAAGUAAGGAAUUCGGUGAGAUGCCAAUCUCCAAGGCUACAUCUUUCGUGUUGACUUUUCCUCGAUCAAUUAACUUUUUCAAAAUCAGAGCAAGAUUUAGUGAAUCAGAAAGGUUAGCAUCCUCGUUGUCACUUCUAUCAGGCAUAUCCAUGUUAUUAAUUUGAUUCCCAUCAGCACAUUCUGAUACAAGCACAUCAUUUAACCUGGAAUCAGAUAACUCAAUUUCUUGUGAUUCGCUAUCGCCAGAUUUGUCAGAAAUAGAAUCAGGUGCUUCUACAUGGACUGCAACUUUAUCUCCAUUUUGGCCAAUCUUUAACUUGUGUUGUUUGUCUGUCAAAAGUUUUGAUGGAAUACAGUUGGCAGUGAAUGAAUCACUUCUCAUAGCUAUAAAAGAAUCUCCUAAUUGAGGGUUACCUCUAUCAUCAGGAAAUUCUGAGUGCUUUGAACAAAAGGCCCGUAACUCAACAUUUUCAGAUCCAUAUUUUCCCCAAGCCUCCAUUCUAUGUCUCGCUUCCCUUGCACAUAUAGGAUGAAAGGCAGCCCUACACAUUCCAUGACUGCAACGAACACAAGCACCACACUUCACCUUGCAUACAUUGCACACUAAUUUCCUCCGUGUUUCCUUUAUUUCUCUCACAUUCAUAACAGGUUCCAUUUUCUUUAAGUCCUCUACAUAUACCUCGGGCAUCCACAGAGAACAAAACAAGUGUACAAACUCAACAACAGACCCACUACUUUCCACACCAACAGGUUUCAAAGCACCACCCUGCUUUGGGCAAAGCACGCAAGGCUGCUUCACUGAAUCCUCAUCACCACUCUUAUGCUUACACCAAGAACAUAGCCAAGACUCAUCAACAUCCCCGUUUACGCCAUAACAGUUGAGAUGAAUAGCAACCUUACAAGAAGAGCAAACAAUCAAUCUGUUCGAUUCAUUACCCGUCUCACCCUUGCAGCAAAAAUCACAUAAUGAUGAGUUCCCUUCCCCGGAAGAACCAAUCAAAACCUUUUCCAACCCAGCAUUCAUACCUAGAAGCUUCCUCUUCUUGGAUGGCCGUUCAGAGGUCAACAUAAUCCUACUCCUACAGCCUAAAAGCCACUCUAAACCGCUACAGAAAUCUGAAACGGAGCAAACCUUUCCUUCCUCCUGAGGCAAACACUCGGCACUGUGACUUUGAGCUCGCACACUGUCAAUUUGCAUGAAUUGCUCGUCCUCUUGCUUCACUUCGUCUAUUGCCAAAACCUCAUUUACAUGUGCAUUUCCGUUUCCGCAAUUUACGGUCACAUUGUUAUCCACGACCUCGUUUGCAUGUGCAUUUCCGUUCCCACAAUUCAUAAUCACGUUCUUGUCCAAGCUCUCUGGGUCAAGCCCUGAAUCAUGUUUCUCAUCUCCAACGUACGGAAUCAAAAAACACUUACUAGCAGCUAAAGACCUAAUUGAAGAAGAUAUCUCGAACAAAGAAUCAAUAUCCGGCAGUGCCAAGUUCCUAAAGUACUCCUCAGUUUCAACCCAAAUAUUCCCUCCCUUGGACCGCUCACUUGCCCGCGAAGACUUUUUAUCUGCUCUAGAAUGUGACUUCUUAUGCCUCUUCCUAGUAUCAGAAUGCUUCAGCAAACUGGCCAAUCCACUAGGCAAAGUAGACACAAUUGAACUACCACCUGAAAGGGUGGACCCAGAACCGUCCUCAGGGACAUCAAAUGGAGAGCGCUCGCUUAGGGCUUUACGCGCCUGAGAGAAGAAAUCAACUUCAAAUGAAGUUGGCUUCUUUUUUGUCGUUGGAGAAAUUUCAGGUUGGGUCGCCGGAACCCUAGAAAUCAGGCGGCAAGGCCUCUCUUCAGUGCCGCAACCUCCGUCAGGACCCCUACCCAUCAUCUUCUUUCGCCGGGGGCAUCGGCCACCGGUCAUCUCAUACACUAGCCACCAGCACCACUUAAACACCCGCCAGCACCACUUAAACACCCGCCAGCACCUUCGCAUUCCAUAACCGAAACCCUAAUGCUAAUCCUAAUUCCAAUCUAGCUCGGGUUCAAAAUCCACCUUCAGAGCAAAACCGUAAUUUCCAAACGUAAACCUAACCCUAACCCUAAUCUAGCUCUCCAGUGGCGUUUCAGUCUUCACCUGCACGUAGAUGGAGGUAAACGAAGGGGAUAAAAAGUCGCGGCUAGGGUUAUGGUUUCAGUUAUUCAGGUUGUUCUUGUUGGGGAUUCGUUUUCACGAGUGUUGUAUUUUUAUUAUUAUUUUGUUUUUGUUUUUCUCGUGUAGUUCGACUUCGCUUUUGAAGCACAGAAAGGGUGAGAGAGAGAGAGAGAGAG
rnacentral:misc_RNA from 1 species